ensembl:lncRNA
UAAUAGUAGUAAUAAUAAUGAUAACAGUAAUAUGACCGUUAAAAAAAAUAUAUAUUACGACACAUCAAACAUUUGUAAUAGUAGUAAUAACACUAACAAUAACAAGAAUAAUUAUACAAAUGAAAAAGGAUACAUAAAACCUAGAAAUAGCAUUUUAAAUGAACAAUAUAACAAUAAAAAUUAUAUUGAUAAGAAAUAUUAUGGUGAUAUGAAUUUAGUAAAAGAUAGAACAAAAUUUCGUAGAUUAAGUAAUUUUAAAAAAGAAAAUAAUUUAAACACAAAUCGUACAUAUAGUGGUAAUAAUAAUGGUAAUAUGAAAAAUAACACGAACAACAUUAAUAAUGAAAAUGUGAUAGACAAUACUGAUAAUAGUAAUGAGAAGUAUGCAAUGAAUAAACAUUUUGUUGGCGAGUAUAAAAAUGUACAACCUAACGGGAAUGUUGUGACUAGUAAUGGUGCUAACAAUAAUAAUAACAAUAAUAACAAUAAUAAUAAUAAUAAUAAUAGAGUAGGAAAUAUUAAUAACGAACAUUAUUCACAUUACGAACCAUAUGAAGAAUUUGAACACAACGUGCCUGCUUAUGCAAAAGGUGGUGAUAAUAAUAUCAAUUAUAAUUAUGCUAAAUUAAACAGACAAAAGAAUCCAUAUGGAGUUGUCGGUGGUGGUGCUGGUGGUGGUGCUGGUGGUGGUGCUGGUAGUGGUGCUGGUAGUGGUGGUGUUGGUGUUGGUAGUGGUGUUGGUGGUGGUGCUGGUGGUGGUGGUGGUAGUGGUGGUGGUGGUGGUGCUGGUGGUGGUAUGAACGUUGAUACGCUUAGAGAAAGAGAAAAUAAGUUAGAAGAGGUGGUUGAAAAUAGUACAGAUGAAAUAAGAGUAUUAGAAGAAGAAAAGUCAGUAAUAUUGAACCCUAACAGUGGUUAUAUACAAAGAGAAAGUGCAUAUCAUAGAAAUAUUAAUGAAUUAAAUAUGAAUAGUGCAAUAAAUACAAACGAAAUGGUACAAACAAAAGACAUGUUAAACAAAGAUAACUACAUAAAAAACAAAAAAAUAAACCAUAUGCAACAAGGAUUAAAUAACAUGAGUAAUAUGUAUAACAGAAACAAAGAUUUGUUAAUACCAAAAGGUAUGACACAUAUGAAAAAUAUGAAUUACAAUAUGACAAAAGAGAACAAUGAAAAUACAGGCAUAUUACAAAAAAAUGUACAAAAUAAUAAUAAUAAUAAUAAUAAUAAUAAUAAUGGAAUUAUUGAAGGAAACAACAACAAUAAUCGUGUGUGUGGUAAAGGUAUGGAAAAUGUGAAUAACUCGAGGUGGAGUAAUAAAUAUAAUGAAGAGAGUGAUACCCUGGAGGAUAUCCGAUACAAUGAUAAUACUACCAAUAAUAAUAACAUUAAUAAUACUUACAACAGUGGUAAUAAUAAAAAUAUGCCUCCGUUAACAAAUUUUAAUUAUAAUGCAAAAAAUGAUAUAUAUAGUAAUACUAAUAUUACAGGUAAAAUGGAUAUUAAUGCUGGUAUUAAUAAGAAAACCAUAAAUACAGAUAUAACGAAUAAAAAAGAAUACUAUAAUUUUUCUUCAACAACUAUAGAUUCUAAUUAUAGUAAUAAAAAUAGUUUUGAACAAAAUAAAAUGUAUAAAGAUCCUAAUUUAAUGGAUGUACAUGAAAAUAAUGAACAGCAUAUGGUAGACGAAGAAGAAAACAAAAAUAAAUUAAAAGGUGUUAGUGAAAACAUAGAACAAGGAACAGGUUACAUGCCAUUACAUAAUAACAUAGACAUCAUAGACAUAAACAGGAAAACUGUUAAUAAUAACAAUGACAUGAAUAAUGCUUCUUUAGAUUAUGUUAAAUAUGCAAAGUACGAAAAUGAAAAUGUAAAAAAGUUUAAUAACAUAAACAUGAACAUGAACAUGAACAUGAACAUGGACAGUGACAACGAAAAUAACAACAAAGUUGAUUAUGAUAAUGUUAUACUAAAGGGCACUAUGACUAAUACCACUAUUGGUACUGUUGCUACAGAAACGACUGCUACGAAUGCUACGAAUGCUACGAAUGCUACAGCUGCUAUUAGUGGUGGUGUUGGUGGUGGUAGUAUUAUCAACAAUAAUAAAAUGUUACAUAAAAAUAUAAAAAACACGAAUCAUUAUAACACGCAGAUGAUGUAUGAUGAAAAUAAAAAAAUGAGAAGAUAUAGAAAUAAAACAGAUAUGAUACGUGUUAAUAGAAAAGUUUCUAAAUAUGAACUUAUGAAUGAUAAAGAACGAGAUGAACAUUAUUUUAGUGACUCUUAUGAUAAUAUAAAUGACACAAAUCAUGAUACAUUACCACCAUAUAUUGAUAAAGUUGAUUAUAAUCAUAUAAGAAGGGGAAGAGAAAAAAGUUAUUAUAACAAUAGUAAUAUUAAUAAUAUGAAUUAUAAAUAUAAUAAUAAAGAAAGAAAUUUAAAAAGAUUGGGGCAUGAUAAUAUGAUGAAUUUGCAUCAAAAAGAAAGUUUUAUGAAUUCCAAUCAUCCUUAUGCCAAAAAAAAAUAUAAUUAUGAUAUUUAUAAUAAUGUUGAAAGUGCCACAGACAAAAUAUAUGGUCAUGAUAAAUAUAGAAACGAUAGUCGUAUUGAUUUAAAUAGACAGGAUAAUGUCAAAAGUUACAAGAAUAGGUAUUUAAACGAUUCCAUGGAUGGUAAAACAUACAUGCUUGUUUGCUAAACUUUGUUCCAUGUGCCAUGUGCUAUGUCGCAUAUACAUGUUGUUCUUAUAAAAACGUUCGUUAAUUAUAUUUUAUUUUUUUUUACGUUACUUUAUUUUAUUUUAUUUUGCUUUACCUUACUUGAUUUUUUUUUUUUUUUUUUUUUUUUUUUUUAACACAGAAAAGGAUGCACUUACCAUAAUCAGACUUCCAGCUGAAAACAACAAACAAGUAAAAAAAAAAAAAAAAAAAUAUAUAGUAGGCAACGGUCAUGAUAGUUCUCUAAUCGAUAUGUACAGUACAGCCAUACCAAUUAACGAACACGUAGACUCUUAUGCAUUAAAAACCUUAUCACAAAAUGGAAAUAUUAACAAGAAACUAUAUGCAUUAGUACCUAAGUCGGUAGCUAAUAUAAAAGAAUAUGAUGACAUAACACAUGUUACUUUACAGUCUCCAUCACCUUUAUUUGUUAAUCAUAACAAAAGUAUAAAACAUCACAUUAUAACAACUAAUUAUCAUCAAAAGGAUGAAGAUAUACCUAACAUAGCAUCCUGUGUGGUUCCUCUAUCCGACGAAUCGUUGAAGGGUAAGUUUAUUCAUGCGUACAUAUAGCUGUGCUUACGUACACAUAUGUCAAUAUAAAUA